rnacentral:rRNA from 1 species
GACGAACGCUGGCGGCGUGCUUAACACAUGCAAGUCGAACGGAAAGGCCCUGCUUUUGUGGGGUGCUCGAGUGGCGAACGGGUGAGUAACACGUGAGUAACCUGCCCUUGACUUUGGGAUAACUUCAGGAAACUGGGGCUAAUACCGGAUAGGAGCUCCUGCUGCAUGGUGGGGGUUGGAAAGUUUCGGCGGUUGGGGAUGGACUCGCGGCUUAUCAGCUUGUUGGUGGGGUGGUGGCUUACCAAGGCAUUGACGGGUCGCCGGCCUGAGAGGGUGACCGGCCACAUUGGGACUGAGAUACGGCCCAGACUCCUACGGGAGGCAGCAGUGGGGAAUAUUGCACGAUGGGCGGAAGCCUGAUGCAGCAACGCCGCGUGCGGGAUGACGGCCUUCGGGUUGUAAACCGCUUUCGCCUGUGACGAAGCGUGAGUGACGGUAAUGGGUAAAGAAGCACCGGCUAACUACGUG